CUGGAAGUUUCUCCUUUAGAGCAAGUUCCUUUCAUAGUUCUUUAUAGAAAGACUAUAGUUGUAAAAUGUUGGUAGAGAUGAUAUUUUGUGUAUAGAAUUAAGGACUGAUUACACAUAAAUGUUUAGUGGACAGUAAACAUUUGUGAGUAAUCUGUUCUUACACACAAAAAGAAGGUCUAUAGCUUUAGGAAAGGGAAAAUUAUCAAGGUUAUUCAGACAAAAUGAGUUGAGAAAAUUGAAGGGAAUGUUUAUACUUGAAUGAGACCUCAUGGAGAAAGACAAAAUAAGGAAGACAUGGGAGAAUAUUUGCAUUCUCGGAACCACAAAAGUGAGGAAAGCCAAGAGCACAGCUGGAGUUGCACCAGAUCAAGUAGACAUUCCAUCAGAGCCUGAACUGAGAAUGCACCGUUCCUAGUCCCCUUGAUAACAGCCCCAUUUUCUGUUAAUAAUACUCUAUGGGAAAAAUCUUGCAAAAAUAGUCAGAAAAGGCAGAGUCACAUGCAGUUCAGUGUGUUCCACCUUGGCAGACGGUCUUGGGAGGAGUUUUGGAAGGAUCGUGCUGCAGGAAAUGGAUGAGAUAAUGAUGAGAAAUUUUCCAGUUCUGUAUAAAAGGGCAAGCAAAAUAUACGCUUGUGAAUAUUUGGCUGCCUUUCCAUGCUGUAUUUUCUGAUCAAUUUUAUUUCAGUUCAUGUGAAGAUAAACUCUGUUAUGGUUAUCUCUCGUGGGGUGUCUAUUAUUUUGUCAGAAAUUGUAUCAGGAACUUUAUAUAAAUCACUGAAUUACACAUUUCCAAGCUGCAUGUGAAUUAGGUUAUUACUGUGAUCAUUUUACAGAUGAAGAAGAUGAGACUCAGAGCAAUUCAUAAGUUGCCCAAGGUCAGAGAGCAAUUACCCUAUCAGAGCAUGCUGUACACCUCUUGCCAUAUUCAGAGUUCUUCCCUACAAGCUGCAACAUUUUCCUCUCCUCCUCUGGAUGUUAGGAACAAUAACCCAGGACCGGCCUACAACCUUAGUCACAUCUGA
rnacentral:lncRNA from 1 species